rnacentral:rRNA from 1 species
GAAGGCCAGGCUGAAGACUUUGCCGGAUUAGCUGAGAGGUGGUGCAUGGCCGUCGUCAGUUCGUACUGUGAAGCAUCCUGUUAAGUCAGGCAACGAGCGAGACCCACGCCCACAGUUGCCAGCGUACUCUCCGGAGUGACGGGUACACUGUGGGGACCGCCGCUGCUAAAGCGGAGGAAGGAAUGGGCAACGGUAGGUCAGUAUGCCCCGAAUAUCCCGGGCUACACGCGAGCUACAAUGGUUGGUACAAUGGGUAUCUACCCCGAAAGGGGACGGGAAUCUCCUAAAACCAAUCUUAGUUCGGAUUGAGGGCUGCAACUCGCCCUCAUGAAGCUGGAAUCCGUAGUAAUCGCGUUUCAACAGAACGCGGUGAAUACGUCCCUGCUCCUU